AGCGAACGUUAGCGGCGGGCCUAACACAUGCAAGUCGAACGCGAAAGGUCUUCGGACUGAUUAGAGUGGCGCACGGGUGAGUAACACGUAGGUAAUCUACCCUUUGGCGGGGGAUAACGUUCCGAAAGGAGCGCUAAUACCGCAUAAGACCACGGAGUCUCCGGACGCUGUGGGAAAAGGUGGCCUCUUCUUGAAAGCUAUCACCGGAGGAUGAGCCUGCGUCCCAUCAGCUAGUUGGUAAGGUAAUGGCUUACCAAGGCAAAGACGGGUAGCUGGUUUGAGAGAAUGAUCAGCCACACUGGCACUGGAACACGGGCCAGACCUCCGUACGGGAGCA
rnacentral:rRNA from 1 species